rnacentral:rRNA from 1 species
UACAGAGGGUGCGAGCGUUGUUCGGAAUUAUUGGGCGUAAAGGGCGCGUAGGCGGCGCCACAAGUCACUUGUGAAAACUCUGGGCUCAACUCAGAGCCUGCAAGCGAAACUGUGGUGCUGGAGUAUGGGAGAGGUGCGUGGAAUUCCUGGUGUAGCGGUGAAAUGCGCAGAUAUCAGGAAGAACACCCGUGGCUAAGGCGGCUCUCUAGUACGGUACUGACGCUGAGACGCGAAAGCGUGGGGAGCGAACAGG